rnacentral:rRNA from 1 species
GCUUAGAAGUGAGAAUGCCGGUAUGAGUAGCGAAAGACGGGUGAGAAUCCCGUCCACCGAAUGCCUAAGGUUUCCUGAGGAAGGCUCGUCCGCUCAGGGUUAGUCAGGACCUAAGCCGAGGCCGACAGGCGUAGGCGAUGGACAACAGGUUGAUAUUCCUGUACCACCUCUUUAUCGUUUGAGCAAUGGAGGGACGCAGAAGGAUAGAAGAAGCGUGCGAUUGGUUGUGCACGUCCAAGCAGUUAGGCUGAUAAGUAGGCAAAUCCGCUUAUCGUGAAGGCUGAGCUGUGAUGGGGAAGCUCCUUAUGGAGCGAAGUCUUUGAUUCCCCGCUGCCAAGAAAAGCUUCUAGCGAGAUAAAAGGUGCCUGUACCGCAAACCGACACAGGUAGGCGAGGAGAGAAUCCUAAGGUGUGCGAGAGAACUCUGGUUAAGGAACUCGGCAAAAUGACCCCGUAACUUCGGGAGAAGGGGUGCUUUCUUAACGGAAAGCCGCAGUGAAUAGGCCCAAGCGACUGUUUAGCAAAAACACAGGUCUCUGCGAAGCCGUAAGGCGAAGUAUAGGGGCUGACACCUGCCCGGUGCUGGAAGGUUAAGGAGAGGGGUUAGCGUAAGCGAAGCUCUGAACUGAAGCCCCAGUAAACGGCGGCCGUAACUAUAACGGUCCUAAGGUAGCGAAAUUCCUUGUCGGGUAAGUUCCGACCCGCACGAAAGGUGUAACGAUUUGGGCACUGUCUCAACCAGAGACUCGGUGAAAUUAUAGUACCUGUGAAGAUGCAGGUUACCCGCGACAGGACGGAAAGACCCCGUGGAGCUUUACUGUAGCCUGAUAUUGAAUUUUGGUACAGUUUGUACAGGAUAGGCGGGAGCCAUUGAAACCGGAGCGCUAGCUUCGGUGGAGGCGCUGGUGGGAUACCGCCCUGACUGUAUUGAAAUUCUAACCUACGGGUCUUAUCGACCCGGGAGACAGUGUCAGGUGGGCAGUUUGACUGGGGCGGUCGCCUCCUAAAGUGUAACGGAGGCGCCCAAAGGUUCCCUCAGAAUGGUUGGAAAUCAUUCGUAGAGUGCAAAGGCAUAAGGGAGCUUGACUGCGAGACCUACAAGUCGAGCAGGGACGAAAGUCGGGCUUAGUGAUCCGGUGGUUCCGCAUGGAAGGGCCAUCGCUCAACGGAUAAAAGCUACCCCGGGGAUAACAGGCUUAUCUCCCCCAAGAGUCCACAUCGACGGGGAGGUUUGGCACCUCGAUGUCGGCUCAUCGCAUCCUGGGGCUGUAGUCGGUCCCAAGGGUUGGGCUGUUCGCCCAUUAAAGCGGUACGCGAGCUGGGUUCAGAACGUCGUGAGACAGUUCGGUCCCUAUCCGUCGUGGGCGUAGGAAAUUUGAGAGGAGCUGUCCUUAGUACGAGAGGACCGGGAUGGACGCACCGCUGGUGUACCAGUUGUUCUGCCAAGGGCAUAGCUGGGUAGCUAUGUGCGGAAGGGAUAAGUGCUGAAAGCAUCUAAGCAUGAAGCCCCCCUCAAGAUGAGAUUUCCCAUAGCGUAAGCUAGUAAGAUCCCUGAAAGAUGAUCAGGUUGAUAGGUUCGAGGUGGAAGCAUGGUGACAUGUGGAGCUGACGAAUACUAAUAGAUCGAGGACUUAACCAUAUAA